UACAGAGGUGGCAAGCGUUGUUCGGAAUUAUUGGGCGUAAAGCGCACGUAGGCGGCUUAGCAAGUCGGAUGUGAAAUCCCUCGGCUCAACCAAGGAAGUGCAUCCGAAACUGCAGAGCUUGAGUACUUAAGAGGAUCGCGGAAUUCCCGGUGUAGAGGUGAAAUUCGUAGAUAUCGGGAGGAACACCAGUGGCGAAGGCGGCGAUCUGGGAAGAUACUGACGCUGAGGUGCGAAAGCGUGGGGAGCAAACAGG
rnacentral:rRNA from 1 species